CCUAUACCUUUAGGUGCCGGUCUAGGUGUGUUUAGCACACUAACCCUGCCUCGCGGCGUUCGCUUCGGCCCGUAUCGUGGACAACGGACCAAAGAUGUCGACUCUAUGUAUUGUUGGCAGAUCUUCAAUCGCCACAACAAGCGUUCUCACGUGAUUGAUGCAGUUAACAGCGAUCGUUCCAACUGGAUGCGCUACGUCAACUGCGCGAGACAUUGGAAGGAGCAGAACUUAUUAGCUUAUCAGUUUAGAGGACAACUUUAUUAUAGGACAAUAAAAAUAAUCCCUCGCUUCACGGAACUCCUAGUGUUCUACGGAAGCGAGUACGCCAAUGCUUUGCGAAUAAACCUAGCGAAAUACAACUCUGUCGAUUACUACAGACAAGCUAUCAG